AUUUAAAUCAACAGAUUCUCAUAAAUUCGUAAUACUUGUAAAUCAAUAAUGAUUGUACCCGGCUCACCACUGUUUGCACUCGACUUCUAUUCUAUGUCCUACCAUCAACAGUGCAGCGAGUGUGUUCAGACUGUCAUCGAGAUCACAGCCGGCUGCCGGUCAAGUGGCAGCAUGUCGCAGACGCUGGCGCUGUCAUCAGCCGCUCAGUCUUCAGAGUCGUGAGGGGCUCGACGCUAUCACCGAUCUGAUUGUGCAAAAGUAAGCUCUGAAGAAUGUGGUAACCGCAGUCUGAUGAGGUAACAGUGACAUGUUAUCAACCAGCUAAGAAUAGGAGUGUGCUAAAAUUUUAUAAAAAAAUGGCAAGUGAGUACUUCUGACUAUUACAUUAAUAAAAUAUUAUCUGUGACAUUUACAUAAAAAUAUAUACCAUAUAUAUGUUAUAUUGCAAAUAGACAGAACAGAAAGGCUGUUCAUUUCAACAUGUACAUAUAUGUUUGUCUGCCAAGACAUAGUUAUAGAUUAAAGGAUUUUUCUACUAAACUAUUGAACGGGUUAUAUGUUCAUUUGAUUACAUAUCACACAGAUGUGUUUCAGGAGCCAAUGGAAUUAGGCUGAUGAAGUCAUAAGACCAGAAGAUCAUCUUACACCUCUAUACAUGCUUCAUGAUAUUAUUUAUAUGUUUUUAAAUUCUGUAGUAAUUUAUUACUUUCCAGUGAUUUGAAAAUAUAGAAAAUAUCACCAAAAAUUAAGUCUCCUUAUAAUUAAAUAUAGUUUGAUUUUUAUCAUAUAUGAUUUUAAAAUUAACAAGUAAUAAAUAAAAAUAAAAAAAUUCCUUCAAUAGAAAUUUAAAUAUGUACAUAUAUCUGUUUAAAAUAACAAUAUUUCAUUUGAUUUAUAUAUAUAUAAAGCAUAGUCUACUUGAAUAUGAAAAACAAAAAAUAUAUAUUCUUAUUAGAAAUAUUAAGUACUGUGAAAUUUUAAAACAGACUGUGACAAUAAUUCUUUACAAUACACAAU